CCUACGGUGUGCAGCAGUAGGGAAUAUUGCUCAAUGGGGGAAACCCUGAAGCAGCAACGCCGCGUGGAGGAUGCAGGUUUUCGGAUUGUAAACUCCUUUUGUUAGAGAGGAUAAUGACGGUAUCUAACGAGUAAGCACCGGCUAACUCCGUACCAGCAGCCGCGGUACUACGGAGGGUGCAGGCGUUACUCGGAAUAACUGGGCGGAAAGAGCGCGUAGGCGGGAUAGCAAGUCAGAUGUGAAUGCCUAUGGCUUAACCAUAGAACUGCAUUUGAAACUGUUAUUCUAGAGUAUGGGAGAGGUAGGUGGAAUUCUUGGUGUAGGGGUAAAAUCCGUAGAGAUCAAGAGGAAUACUCAUUGCGAAGGCGACCUGCUAGAACAUAACUGACGCUGAUGCGCGAAAGCGUGGGGAGCAAACAGGAUUAGAUACCCGGGUAGUC
rnacentral:rRNA from 1 species